GUGCUCGCUUCGGGAGCACAUAUAUUAAAAUUGGAACAAUACAGAGAAGCUCAGCAUGGCCCCUGCUCAAGGAUGGCAUGAAAUUCGUGAAGCGUCCCAUAUUUCU